GCGUGACCCGGGCGGUGACGUGGCAGGAAAGGCCCAUGUCCCGGGGGGGGGGAGCAGCGUUCACCGGCGUGUCAGCGCGGGGCGGUUCACCCCCUGGAGCUGGCGCUGCCCAGGCCGCCGCCGGACUCGCCCGCCCCGGGGUGGGCGCUGCGCGUUGGUAACGCUGUGGGCAGGCUGGAGACCGCGCCAAGGGGAGCGGCAGCAGACGAGGGUUAGAAAGCCCGGUCUGUAAGCAGAGAUGAAGAGACUGAGGCCUGUCUGGAGAGGCGCAGCGGGACGUUAUGACCGGCUAAAGCUGUGUAAAGCUGGUUAGACUGAGAGCAAAGUGGUAGGAGCUGUGCAUUGCAGAGAAACAUCUCUAAGGAGCUCGGGGGGGCUUGAGUCCAAUGAUUUUUAACUGCAUGCUAAGCGAGGACUAGGCCAGGAGAGCCUGGAGGAGUUCAUGGGUGAGGAAGACAGACUGGUGUGGCGGGGAGCUGACACACUCUUGCUGAGGCAGACAGGCAUCAAGGGCCGGCGUAAUCCAGGAUACUGGAGCAGAUGGACCACUAGUCUGAUCAGAUCCAAGUCCAGCAGGAGAUGGGUGCGGGACGGUGGCUGUGGCACAAAGUGAGAUGGGCAGACUCUGCAUCAUGGUGGCAAUGGGACAAAGGCGCUCAGCCUGAACAAUACUAUUGGAAGGAAAUCUAACAAACACUGGCCAUCAGGCUCUAUGGACUGAAAUCGGAGAAGAGGCUGGUAAUAAAUAAGGACCAAAUUCAAAGGUGUGCCUGGGAGGCAGACAGUGCCAGAGACAAAGGAGGAAGUGGAGUAAGUCUCAUCAGGCUCAUAUAAAUUCAUCCUGCCUGUCAAGCCUGAAGAAGCGACUCGUGAAUGUGAGCUUGCAGGGGACAACUUGUACCAAAGUCUAGCACCCCUCCCCAGGUGCUCUGGGGCUGACGUGCGGCUCUGCCACUUCCUCUCUGCCUGAACCGUCCCAUGGGGAUAAACAACAAGCCCCUGGCUGAGAAACCAACAGCUCCUGGAAUGGCCAUUGUCAGGAAUAGCCCAUUCACUGGGAGUGUCUGCGCCCAGGGUUUCUACAGCGCCUGCCCUCUCCCCCUCUCAAAUGGCGACUGAAUUGAGUAAAACAAAGCUCACAUGAGAGAGAGUACAGCACACUCAUUAAACUGCAACACAUCCGCCCGGGAAGCAAACAGAGUAAGAGGAGGAGGCAUCCAGUUCUCCUGGCCCAGCUCUUAAGCCUGCACCACAGUUAUCGUGUCUUCGUUAAGCACUGAUUGUGCUUGGCCCUGUAUGAAACACAUGGUUGCUGCCCCACAGACCUUACAGUCUGCAUAGUUAUGGACCAAACCCUCCUGGAGGAGAGCAGCAGGCAUGGACUUUGGGUGUUCUUGCAGAAUACUGUUCAGCCAGUGUAGUACCCACGUGCUCAGAAGAAACCUGAUGCUGGCUCAGCUCAUAACUGACCUAGCAUCGAAGAUCAUGUAUAUGAGUUUCUGGCUACUAACCUGGGAAGCUCUUGACUGUGGAAGUGAGGUCAGAGGAAAGGGAAGAGAUGCUCUUUCCAACGCUGUGUCGCUAGGCCCAGCGUUUUUGGGAGUGAAGAGAUCAAAGUGCAGUUGCAGCUUGGGACUUGGCAGUUGUCACAUUGUUGGCAUAACAGCCUGUGCAGCAGCACACAAUCCGAAUGCGAGUCUGUUCUGUUCUAUAGAGCGAAUAGUGCACCGUGCCUAACUAGACCCUUUCCAGAGCCCCAGCCUGUAUUUCAGAGGUGAGCUACCUGCCUGAAACACCCUACCAUCCUGGCAGCACAUUCUCAUUCCCAUCUGCAAUUGGUUAGCUAAACAAGCAGUCUCUACCCCUUUUGCCAAGCUGGGCGAGGUGUCAUGACAUUACCAUUAUUCUUAGUUUUACAAGCAAUUAAAAAAUUAAAUCAAAGGGCUGGUGCUAAAAAUAACGAUUUUUAGUGUAGGCUGGAAAGAAAUGGAAACAAUUUCAAAGCGUGUUUUAAACACUGCAUUUUCAUUAUAGACAUUUCAGCUGCUUUUCUCUCAGCCAGGAUCAUUCGCUCCAGCUCCUGUGUGUUUUCCGUGCUGAGGCCUGGCAGCUGACAAGGGGGCGCAUGCCAUGGAAAUACUGGGCAAGUGUCACUCACUGAUUCCUGCAGCAAGUCAUGGUUGAAUAAUGAGUUAAAAAUCCUGGACUGAUGAUGUUGCCUGACAACAUGAAGCGUCCGAGGUGUCAAUCCUUGUGUUCUUUUUGGGUGGAAUGAGCUGAAGUAGCUGUGUUCUCUGUGAUAAACCCCUCCCCACAGAGCAAUGCAAGUCCCUUGGCUUUACACACAGGGAAAUUAGUUUGAACCAAGUUUCUAGAUCAACGUAGCCAAACAAAACCUUAUGACUGCAGAUUCCCUGUGACUCUCCAUAGCGCUUUUGAUUUCUUGACUGAGGCAUUUGCAGCUGCAGUAUGCAAAAAAUCCUGAGUCCAGCUAUAUAUUAUUAAAAGUCUAUUUUUGUGGGAAUCCCCCAAUUUCCUUUCCCGUCACCACAACCCUCAGGCCCUAAGCAACAGCAAAGGUCUGUCAGAAUCCCCAAGCCCCCUUCAGAAGUGCUGUGCCCAAAUGCAACCCCACAGACCUGCACUAUUCUUCUGUCCAGGAGCUGCUACCACACUAACAAUGUCUGAGCCUGUGGGGAUGGGCUAGAUGUAACUCAGAACUAGUAGAUCUUUUCCACCUCUGACUCCUAUAAUUUGGAUGCCUAAUGAUGGGAUUGGCCAUCUGGAUAACACCAGUGUCCCAGGGGUUAAUUUGGUAACCUUGUUAGUGCAGAAAGCAGAUAGUACCUGCCUUUCAGGUCCACAAAUACAUUUAUUCAUGAGAAAAACACCCAUCUGUACCGUUCUGUUUUAUUUUAAAUAACCCCAAAGCAUGAAGGGCGGCUGGUAAUCUGUAUUCCAGCAAGGCUGGGCUUUAUUUCUUUGCCACUUGAAUGCUUAAAGAAGACACUUGUAGUUUUUGCAGAUUUGUUCAGGUGAGCUGUUCUUGGAGAAUGGAAUCAGGCCAUGACUCCGUCCACAGUCCCAGGGGUCUUAUGCUCAGGUGCAGAAAUGAAAGGCAAUGCAGGGCAUGUCAAACUCAGCAGUAACUCCAAGUGUAAGGCCAACCUCUGUGACACGGCUGUUGCUAGUUCCAAUUGGAACCUAGCUGGUGGACCCAAAAGCUGUAAAAUGGGGAUAAUGGAUGAUAUCGGGAAGUAUCGUGUAUUACACGCCUGAACUCAAGUUUGAAAGCAGUCGGAGACCCUUGGAUGGAAGAAAUUAAUUGUGUCAGCAAAAUGGUUUGGAAAUGCUCUGAAGAUUGUUCUUCUAUCAACGUGACAGAUUAAGUUACAGGCUGCUGAGCUGAAUUCACCUUGGACCGAUGGUGCACUAGCACUGGGGCUCCCCCUACUACAAGCUGAAAUCACUGAGUGCUGUGUUAAGUGGGGGGGCCUGACGAUAUAUGGCUGAGCAGCUGGCGGAGUGGUGCAGUUGGCGGGACAGCUGGAGUGGCUUACAGGACGGCUGGUGGAGCAGAGCCGCUGGCUUGAGCAGCUCAUGGGAUGGCUGGUGGAGAGGAGCGGCUGGCGGAGUGGCUCACGGUGAAGGCUGCAGCAGAACCCCAUGGAGAGGCGGAGAAGUCGGCCUUGGACCACUGAUGAGCUGUGGCUGUAAUCAGUGGGGCUUACAGAAUCCUGCCCACUGCCCUCACAGCUCUAUGCCACUGCGGGAUGCUUGUGGCAAUGCUGUAGCCAGGGCUGACGAGAUAAAGGUGGGUUAAAACACAUUAUCUGUUUCCAUUCUGCUGCUCAGAUUGAUGGAAUUUCAUUAGCUCGUUGCUCUCUUUGGCUCUUGGAAGCUCUGGUCCCUCCUCCAGGGCAAGGGAGCAGCAGUCACUGAAGCAGACAGAAACCCGCUGCAAAUAGACAGUGCUGGUCCCAUCCCCUCAGCACAGCAGCAAAGGUGGUUGCCAUAUGUACCCCAAAGCCCCAUUGUCCUCACCCCCCUCCAGGACAGUGCUGCUGCCCUAUCUGGACUCUGGGGUGUCCUGCCCCAUCCCUCUUCAACCCUCGCCCCCACUCUCUGAACAUGGCUGUGCACCAUUGCGCAAACCCCACUCCCCCAGCGCAAGGUUCCCUCAGCUGGGCUCUGCCUCUGGGACCCUCGCUGGCAGCACAGCCUUUGCUCAGCCACGGAGUGGCCCUUUCCCAGCAUUAGCCCCAGUGGCCAGGCUGCCACCUGCCUCCUUUCCCAGACAGAGCCUCUGCAGGGAGAAAGGCACGCAGGACCGGAGCCCCAUCCAGCCAAGGUGGUCAGCAAACGGCUGAGUGCACCCCCUGCUGCUGAGCAACAGAGGCUGAGGACAGGGAGCCCUCAUGGGCCAGGACCUCAUCCCCAACAGUCUGCCCCCAACCAGGCUUGUAGCUCAGAAAUCUGGGUGCCUGGCCCUGCUGGUCCAGUGUGCGCUCCCCUUCCUAAAAUUCACAAAUCACAGUGCCUGGCUUCACAGCAAGAGGCACUGGGCGGCGUCAGGUUCAUGAACUGAAGAGCAGGCAGGGUCACUGUCUGCAGUGGUUCAGCUGAUAGGGACUUUGUGGAUGAUAUGGUGGAGUUGAAGAAACGGAGGCCCUGAUCCUGGGCUGCAUCUGAGCUCAGGAGAAGGGGGCAGCGAAGGUUGCUGUAAGCAGCACCCUUUAAGCUCGGAGCUGGUUUGACAAGAUAUGUAGGCUUUGCCCACAGAGUAAAGAGCAGAAUCAAAUCCUCAUGGUUUAACACACUCUGCAUUAAUGUGUUACCGUCAUGCUCGAUCUCAGAGGACAAAUGUUUGUGGCAGUAACACUACAGGAGGAGCUAGGAAAGCAAAAUGCAAUUUCCUCUGUUGGAAUUAGGCCAAAAAGCCAGGGCUAGCAGCCCUCUUGCAAAAGAGCCCGGGGAUCGUCAAUGACUGCAUAUGGCAGGAAGUUGGUGUUACAUCUUGUCAGAGAGACACUGAUUCCCGCGUUGAGCCAGCCUGGUGUCCCUUGGAGGUACCGGUUCAUUUCUGACCUGAAGGACAGAUGUAAAUUACAGAAUCAUUAAGAUCACAGCUUACAGCACUUGGGGCUUCCCUGAGUGUCAGAGGCCAAGGCCAGUUAAUAAAAUUCCCCAGUAAAUACAAUAAAAUCAGUGCGCUGAAGGAAUGUCUAUAAAAAAGUGCAAGACGAGUCACUUGUGCAAACCCCAGUACUAGUGUGCACUCUGUCGGCACGGUUGCAGUGAAGCAUGUUACACCACUCUGUGGGAGCACAGGUCACUGGAUCAGUUCAGCACAGGGCCAUUUUGUAUUUUAUGUUGCCUGUUUGUUGUUAUUUCCAAGGGAACAUUACCAGAAAACUGGAAUGGGCUGAGCUGCUGCGUUCCCCUUGUGUACAAGUCUGUGUUCAUUGUGCCUGUGUGCGUCUGUGAUUCCCGUCCUCCUGCCCACAUCUCUCAGAACAUGCUUCUGGGAGCCCCACAACAUGCACUGUGUUUGCAGGGUGAGUGUUGUGAGCCUUGAAUGCCAUCACAUUCUAAUGAAGAGGCUGUUAUUAAAUGGCUGAAAAAGUCAGGACCAAAAUAGUAAUGAAUCCACGUCAGAAAUGCUCAGCAACAGCAAAGUGGCCAUGUUCCCCCACGACAUGACUGCUCCAGAGCCCAUUUCAUGGGGCUCCAAAGAGGUACCAAAGUUUUUUUCCCACUUUCCCAUUUAAAGGGGCUUGUCAGAAGACCAAGGGUUUGAUUUCUCUGAUGCCUCUAAAUCCAGGAGGCCUUUGUGUUUACUUCACAGGGCUCCAUCUCUGCAGCUGUGCUCCUUUUGGUUCCUAGCCUAGAUGGAUUCUGUACCUGUUCUGUUCCCUCCCUCCUGUUGUGUUGCUUUAUCAUUACUCUAUUACAACAAAAUGCUGCAGAGAGGAGAUGAAAAGAAGCUUGAAAGCCGGAUUCCAUGAAAGUGUGAAUUUAUUUUUAAAUCUUCGAAAUUAUUUACUUUGUCUGGCUUGUUUUUUUGUUUUUCUUUUUAAUGACCGGUGAAUGUUUAUUGCUUGUUCUCCUUCCAAAGGUGGAGCAUGGCAUGAAGGAAAUUAACUGCACACCGGGAGAGAGGCAGCUGUUUUUAUUUUUCAAGUUAAAUCUGCAACUUUGCUGAAAUUUCAGAAAAAAGCAACCUUCUGUAAAUUAAACCCUGAUCUUUGUGCUUUGGUUUAAAAAGAGGCUCAGCGUCAGAAAAGGCAGCAGGAGCAGAAAACAAACAUGAGAUUGUAGUAAGAUGAGGCUCUGAAACAUAAACUCUUGCAACAGAGGCCCGGUCUGAGGCCUAAGGCCUGAACUAAAGGAAUGGUCAAGACUUUGCUAACAUAAAGCACAGUUAAGCUGUGAGGCAGAGGCAGGCCCUGCUCACAGAAAUUGGCAAGGAAAGGGCUGAUGCUGCAAGAAGAUACAGAUCUAAAAGGUCCUGGACACUAGAUAUCAGAACACUCCAAUACUUGCACAUUCCACACAGAUAACAACGAACAAGCUGACCCGUCCUAAAGCCAGGGGCAAAACGGUAAUAUGAUGGGUAGAGUUGUUUUGUUCAAACCAACAUGUACAAGAUGAGAGGCGGCACCUUGCUACGUAGAGGGACUGCACCUCA